UUUUCCCUGCAGUGCUCGAAGCCAGCGGAUAUUUUUUGAGCCAACGCCUAUUCUUAAUGGACCUAACCUUCGAUCGCGGUGUGCAUGCCCCGCAAGGGGAAGCCUGAAACGGUUGAGGAGGUACCACCUUUUGAAUGGGUUCAAAGAUGCCGUUUGCCCGACACAGGCGGGGAAUUU
rfam:Candidatus Edwardsbacteria bacterium GWF2_54_11 gwf2_scaffold_695, whole genome shotgun sequence.